rnacentral:rRNA from 1 species
AGUGAACGCUGGCGGUAGGCCUAACACAUGCAAGUCGAACGGCAGCACAGUAAGAGCUUGCUCUUACGGGUGGCGAGUGGCGGACGGGUGAGGAAUACAUCGGAAUCUACUUUUUCGUGGGGGAUAACGUAGGGAAACUUACGCUAAUACCGCAUACGACCUACGGGUGAAAGCAGGGGAUCUUCGGACCUUGCGCGAUUGAAUGAGCCGAUGUCGGAUUAGCUAGUUGGCGGGGUAAAGGCCCACCAAGGCGACGAUCCGUAGCUGGUCUGAGAGGAUGAUCAGCCACACUGGAACUGAGACACGAUCCAGACUCCUACGGGAGGCAGCAGUGGGGAAUAUUGGACAAUGGGCGCAAGCCUGAUCCAGCCAUACCGCGUGGGUGAAGAAGGCCUUCGGGUUGUAAAGCCCUUUUGUUGGGAAAGAAAAGCAGCAGGUUAAUACCCCACUGUUCUGACGGUACCCAAAGAAUAAGCACCGGCUAACUUCGUG